rnacentral:rRNA from 1 species
UACGUAGGAGGCAAGCGUUGUCCGGAAUUACUGGGCGUAAAGCGCGUGUAGGUGGUGGGACAAGUCUGCUGUGAAAGCGCCUGGCUUAACCGGGCGAGGUCGGCGGAAACUGUCCGACUCGAGGACGGUAGAGGGGGGUGGAAUUCUCGGUGUAGCGGUGAAAUGCGUAGAUAUCUGGAGGAACACCGGUGGCGAAGGCGGCAUCCUGGACCGGCAUUGACGCUGAAUAGCGAAAGCCAGGGGAGCAAACGGG